rnacentral:lncRNA from 1 species
UUUUGUAAAGUGAUACAUACCCGCUCUUGCUCGGGCCUGUUCAGGCCUCCGGAAAAGGCAUCAUGCAUCCGUGUUGCACACAAUAUGCACAUUCGCGAUAGGCACAAAAGCGAUUACAACAACCCGUCCUGUACCGGCUGUACAACCAUGCUUCACCCAAUCCAUAUCCCUGCACCCACAUCCGCAACUCCAUCAAGCCACCAAGAGCACCUCAUCCCCGCCGUCAAUAGCAGGCGGCACCAAAACGCCCUCAACACCCUACGCUGCCUCUCCUAGACCUGCUCUUCCUCGCGCACGCGCCUGCCUAUGUGCUGCGUCUGAAAACCUAAUGGCAUAGCCUGAAAACCUGCACAUUUCACUAUCGCAUCUACUCGCUUUGGAGAACAGAUAUCCCCCACGAAGAAGUCCCCAAUAACUUGCAACCUCCUCCAACUCUUUCCACCCUCCCGACUUACCUAAAUAGCACAUUACCUCCCACCAACACCCCAAGACACACACACACACACACCACACACAUCCCACGGGUCCAAACCCACUGGGCACACGCACACAAAGUCUCGCACCAGGAUGCGGGGUUGUCCUCGCACAUGGCUUGGUCAUAACACAACAACUGCCCCCUCAUGCCCCCUCCUCACGCACUCACCGCAACUGCAUUACCGUUCCAACGCAGCCCUAACUGGCAAACACCAGUCCCAGCACAUCAACGGCACUCAUCCCACGCCCCCUUCCUGCCCCCUAGCUUUCCGAUCUGGCCCCCCCAAUCUCCUCACCUUACUUGCCGCUCCCGUUCCCGCCACCUCCCCCACGC